rnacentral:rRNA from 1 species
UACGUAGGGGCCUAGCGUUGUCCGGCUUUAUUGGGCGUAAAGAGCUCGUAGGCGGUUUGGUGAGUCGGGUGUGAAAUCUCCACGCUCAACGUGGAGGGGCCACCCGAUACUGCCAUGACUAGAGUCCGGUAGGGGAGUGUGGAAUUCCCGGUGUAGCGGUGAAAUGCGCAGAUAUCGGGAGGAACACCUGUGGCGAAAGCGGCACACUGGACCACUACUGACGCUGAGGCGCGAAAGCUAGGGGAGCAAACAGG